rnacentral:lncRNA from 1 species
GCGUCUGAUUUCUUUUGCAUAUAUCAAAAUGUUGAUUUCUUUUUGUCCUUCAUUGCAUUUGUCUGUUCGGUACAGAUUCACUUGGAUAUGAAAUGAGACCUCUGCUUGUGUAUUCUGUGUGAUGUCAUGUCACUCACAGAUCAUCUUUGAAAUGGAAUGGAGUGUAAAGUCAGUUUAUGGCAGCUCUGUCUGUUUGAUUGAAUGUCUCAGAUUAAAAGAUUUAUUUAUUUAUUUUUAUUUAUUUAUUUAUUUAUUUUUGCACUUUUCUUUUGUUUCAUGAUCAGGGCAUCACCUUUGAUGAGUUCAGGUCUUUCUUCCAGUUCCUCAAUAACCUUGAAGACUUUGCCAUUGCCAUGCAGAUGUACAACUUUGCCUGUCGUUCCAUUGGACAAGAUGAGUUUGGUCGGGCGGUAUAUGUCGCAACAGGCCUCAAGCUGACCCAUCACCUGGUUAACACCAUCUUCAGGAUAUUUGACGUGGAUCAUGAUGAUCAGCUCAGUUACAAAGAGUUCAUUGGUAUCAUGAAGGACCGGCUGCACCGUGGAGGCAGGGGUUAUAAAGCUGUAGAGCAUUUCACUUCAUUUAAAUCAUGUCUGAAGAAGGAACUGGCAGGCAGCAGGUGAUAGGCAUUCAGGAUGUGUCUCUUCUUUCUCAGGAAGAAACUGAUUUGUCUGCUCUGGAAAUGUUUGAGAGAGGUCCCGUCAUGAAAUCUACCUCUUCUUCUUCUGAUUUUGAAACCUUGGGAUUGGGAUGGUGUCCCUGCAAUCAGCGCUCUGCACUGCAUGUUCUAGUAUCCGCACAGCUCUGCAUGAUCAAACUUUAUUCUGUAUUCUGCUCCAAAUCUUCUUUGUUUAUAACCUGGGAAAUGGCAUUUCAGCUACACGUCCAAUGUUUUGUAUGUUUUAAAGUUGCACAUGGGUGUCCUGGAAGGGUAAAGAGAUUUUUAAAUGCAUUUGUAAUGGAAAUGUUUUAAGCAGGUUGAGUUAUUCAUUUUUGGCCUUUUAUUCAUUAUAUUUAUAUUCUAUUAUAUUGCAUUGUACCUUGCAUUUUAUUAUGCCAGUUACAAAGAAAGCUAUUAUUAUUAUUUUGUCAUUGUCAGGAUUGUUUAAAUGUACAGAAUCAUACUGUGUGAAAAGGGUAAUACUUGAUUAUCAUAAUCAUAAACUGGGUUUGUAAGAGAUUAUGUAGCUCAUGUAGCAUUAAGCCCAAUAAUAAGCAUUGCCUUAAUCUAAAACUGUUGUUAUUUUUCUCACACAAUUGAUUUAUUGUUUGUUUGUUUUUUUAACAAGGUGUUGCUGUAAAAAGAUGUGCAAGAUUGGUUUGCCAUCAAAGGCAAUUAACUAUUAAGUCUAAGCAUGCUUUUUAAGACUGUACUGUAAUUCAAACUCUAAAACAAAUACAGACUUGAAAUUCCAUGAAAAUGGUAUGCAAGUCAAUAAAGUGGUUUCGGUGUGCCUAUGAUGCAGAUUUCUCAGUGUUUAAGAUUGUUGUCUCCAAUGAUUCUGCAUGACAUAUAAUCCCCAUAUAGUCUGUCCUUCCAUUAGAAUAUUAUUUAUCCAUAUAUGUAUUCUGUGCUUAAAUAGAAUUUAUAGAAAAAAUAAUUUCAUAUUUAUAGUAAAAAAAAAAAAAAAAAAUCAUACUUUAGUAAUAAAUAGGAUAAUACUGGUACAGAAAUAUAACAGACUUGAAAUUCCAUGAAAAUGGUAUGCAAGUCAAUAAAGUGGUUUCGGUGUGCCUAUGAUGCAGAUUUCUCAGUGUUUAAGAUUGUUGUCUCCAAUGAUUCUGCAUGACAUAUAAAUCCCCCAUAUAGUCUGUCCUUCCAUUAGAAUAUUAUUUAUCCAUAUAUGUAUUCUGUGCUUAAAUAGAAUUUAUAGAAAAAAUAAUUUCAUAUUUAUAGUAAAAAAAAAAAAAAAAUAAAAACUUAUUAGUGAUUAUCAUAAUCAUAAACUGGGUUUGUAAGAGAUUAUGUAGCUCAUGUAGCAUUAAGCCCAAUAAUAAGCAUUGCCUUAAUCUAAAACUGUUGUUAUUUUUCUCACACAAUUGAUUUAUUGUUUGUUUGUUUUUUAACAGGUGUUGCUAGUAAAAAGCUGUGCAAGUAUUGGUUUGCCAAUCAAAAGGCAAUUAACUAUUAAGUCUAAGCAUGCUUUUUAAGACUGUACUGUAAUUCAAACUCUAAAACAAUACAGACUUGAAAUUCCAUGAAAAUGGUAUGCAAGUCAAUAAAGUGGUUCGUGUGCCUAUGAUGCAGAUUUCUCAGUGUUUUAAGAUUUCGUUGUCUAUGACACCAAUGUUUUGAAAUCAUUAUUUAUAAGUAAAAAAAAAAAAAAAAAAAUACUUUGAAUAAAUGGAUAAUCUGGUCAGAAAUAUAUUUUAAGACAAAGAUAAAAAAAAAUUAAUGAUUUACAUUUAUUAUGAUUACAAUUAUUAACUGAAUAAAAUAAUUAAUAAAACAUGAUGCCAACACCCUGACCUGAAACUUCCAGAUACACGAGAAUUCGACACAAAAUAAGAAACAGAACAUAUAGGCAUAAAAUAAUUUGCAAUGGCAUAAAACAUUUUUCAUUAGUGUUACAAGUUUUGAGCCCCGUCCGUCAGGCACGUGCACACAUAGACAUCAAAGGGGGCUUGAGCACCUGCCCUUUUUCUUCCUCGAGAGAAAGUGUCCUUUUUCUGGGGAGUGAUUUUUUUUUUUUUAUUAAAUAAGUACAGUUCAAUAAACAAGAAUUUAAUAUUAACAUACUUACAUUUUAGACACAAUAUUGACUGUUUUUGCUCUAUUUUGCCAACAAAUAUAAUCCCGAUUUGCAUCUCUGAGCAACAUGACAGUGUUUCGUUCCUGAAUGAAUCAGCUGUUUAAAUGAUUUGGUUCAAUCGCAAGGACUCAUUUAUUAACAGUUACUAGCUGCCACCUACUGACAGUUUUAAUUUCACUUUUAAAGUAUAUUUUCAUUUAAAAAUAAAUAAAUAAACCAUUUCAAAUAUGAGUAUUCAAAGUUUUAUGUUUAAAAUAUCAAAACAUUUUUUUUUAAGUAUUAAUGCAUUUGUAACUGCUGGUUAAAUGCAUUCAUGUCCUGCAUUAAUCAGUGUAAAUGCAUCUACUGUAAAUGCCCCAGCUUCUGUGUUUUCUCUGCAUUAUUAUUCUAACUGACUAAUUCAAUUUAAGAAUUUGACUGAAAAGAUGGUGCACACUUUAGAAAUGGCUUUAGAAAUGUAAAAAUGCCAAUAAAAUGUAAAAAUCAAUUUAAACUUAUUGGAAAAGAUUACUUUCUAUCAAUGCUGUGAAUAUGAAGAAUAUCAAAAACUUUAGAAGUCAGCUGUCCAUGGUAGUCCAUAAGAUAUCAGCAUAAUGCAUUGAGCAAAAUAUAAUCUAAUUAUCGAUAAAAUCCCAGAAAAUAUUGUGGUAUAU